rnacentral:rRNA from 1 species
UACGUAGGGGGCUAGCGUUGUCCGGAAUCAUUGGGCGUAAAGAGCGUGUAGGCGGUCCGGUAAGUCCGCUGUGAAAGUCGGGGGCUCAACCCUCGAAUGCCGGUGGAUACUGUCGGGCUAGAGUGCGGAAGAGGCGAGUGGAAUUCCUGGUGUAGCGGUGAAAUGCGCAGAUAUCAGGAAGAACACCCGUGGCGAAGGCGGCUCUCUGGGACGGCACUGACGCUGAGACGCGAAAGCGUGGGGAGCGAACAGG